GGGUGAGUAACACGUGGGUGAUCUGCCCUGCACUUCGGGACAAGCUUGGGAAACUGGGUCUAAUACCGGAUAGGAGCCAUCUUUAGUGUGGUGGUUGGAAAGUUUUUUCGGUGUAGGAUGAGCUCGCGGCCUAUCAGCUUGUUGGUGGGGUAAUGGCCUACCAAGGCGGCGACGGGUAGCCGGCCUGAGAGGGUGUACGGCCACAUUGGGACUGAGAUACGGCCCAG
rnacentral:rRNA from 1 species